CCUACAGAUGCUCAGAAACUGAAGUAACGGUCAGAGAAGGAGACACGAUCAGUGAUGUUGUCUGCAGAAUUGCUUCAAGAGCACAUUACUUUUACAUAUCGUUUAUAUUAUUAUCAUUAGCUCUUGUUGGACUUUGUGUCAAAGCCCAGCUAACAUCAAAAAAAGAAACAGAUGGUUCUGGAGCCUCAGGGCCCUGACAGCAGACAUUCUGUCCCCUUUAAUUUUCAGCGAAGCCUCUGGAGUAGACCUCUGCCCAAAGAACUCAAAGUACACGGCAAAGUACACAUGUGUUCAGCCCACACUGGACUCUUUUCUAUGAGCCAGCUGACACACAGUGGUCUCUGCUUGUCCCUGUUAGCAGACGUGCUCGUCUUCAUUGCAGUUCCAAACACACCGGAUGAUGACAGUGAUCACAUUAUCGUCAAAAAAAGGACAAGCCUGGUAUUUCUCUUACCGACAAGUCUUGUAAAUGUAACACGCUCAACAUGUGCACUCAGACACAAACCAGUUAGUUUGGGAACCAGUUGGGACAUACCAUCAGCGAUGCGGAGAAGUUGCACCAAGAAAACAAAGGAAAAGGUUUCGCUGACCGAUGCUGCAAAGUGUGCUAAUAUGACGGAUUUACAUAAGCAAUCUGCAGGAGAUGAUGAGGAUGGUAGUGAAGAUGCAGACGCAUCAAAGAGGAGUGAGCAGCUGCUUUGUCGUGGUUCCAAGCUUUCUGCUGUAGAUGUAAUAUGUACAGUGGCCCCGAAGGGCAAAGCACGACAGCAGAAGAGAAAAGGCAACGGCAAGUUACAAAACAUGAGUUUUGGUGAGACUGAAAAUGGAAUAGGCAGGUACAUACUGGACAAUAUACAAUAAUUCUAGGUUACUACGAUGAUAUACGAUAAUAAAAUACACGUUGAUACCGUAUUAUAACCAUUUAAGAUUUAAAAAGCAAAAACUAUUGAUCUCGAGUGAAACUGCAAUGCUGCAGUUGCAAUACAAAGUGGAAAGAGUGCAAUAUUAAACGUGUAACAUUUUUAUUAUAACAUGACAAAUUAGCAUAUUUUUAUAUUGUAAAAGUCCUGUCCGAAUUUGUGGAAAACAUGGCUUGAGGAAUGUGACAUUGAGGCUUCACGUUUUAAGUUUAAGUUCUCUUCAUGCUCUGAUAGAGACAUGGUGAGAUUCUGCUGAGUAAAGGACAUGAUAUCGUGAUUUGUAUGCAUACACUAAAAUCUGAUUUCCGUCACACAAAAAACCCCAUUGAGCUGAGGCAGCGAGGCAUCCAGUCUGCCAGAAAUCCAUAGACCAGGUCAUUUUGUUUGGCGCAGACAGGCAGUGCAACCAAUCAUAGAGGAUUUGAAAUUUAAACAGGAACCGCUGUCGAAUAUGUACCUACCUGUUUGGAUUUUGCCAAAUGUGUUUUCUUUGUGUUUUGUUACUCGCUGUUGUGUUUUACUUACUGCUGUUGUGCUUUGCCCUGCUUCUGCUGUUAAUGUGCUUUGUUUGGUUAUUGGCCUCAUGCAGCAACAUUCUCUCUGAUUUUUUUUCACAUGAAAAAGUUUUCUUUUUUUCACAUGGAAAAAGUUUU